GAAUUUGGCUUCAAUAGAGGUCAAUAAGGUAAGCCCUUGUUUCAAUGGUAUUGUUAGUCGGUGCUUAUGUGAGUUUUUCGGUACUCAGUUUGCUUUAGAGGACCCAAUAGUCCUGAAACCAUGGAGAGGUUUGUUGUGGUUUCGGUGAGAGGAGUUUGAGUUUGUGCUGUUUGCUGUUUUCAAUCGGGGAUGGGUGUCAUGGAUUGUGUUAUUUGGGGAUUUUGUAAAUCUAGCAAUUUUGCAUGA
rnacentral:lncRNA from 1 species